GACGUAGGAGGCGAGCGUUGUCCGGAUUCAUUGGGCGUAAAGAGCACGCAGGCGGUUUGGCAAGUCGGAUGUGAAAACCCGAAGCUCAACUUCGGGCCUGCAUCCGAAACUGCCCGACUAGAGGUAGGUAGGGGAGAUCGGAAUUCCUGGUGUAGCGGUGAAAUGCGCAGAUAUCAGGAGGAACACCGGUGGCGAAGGCGGAUCUCUGGGACGGUACUGACACUGAGACGCGAAAGCGUGGGGAGCGAACAGG
rnacentral:rRNA from 1 species